rnacentral:rRNA from 1 species
GAUAAACGCUGGCGGUGUACAUAAGACAUGCAAGUCGAACGGGAGAAGACAGGAAGAUUUAUCUACUUGUUGGACACCGUGGCGGACGGGUGAGUAACACGUAAGCAACCUGCCUAUAGGAGGGGAAUAACAGUGAGAAAUUACUGAUAAUACCGCAUAAGCUGGAGGUAUCGCAUGAUACAUUCAGAAAAGAUUUAUCGCUUAUAGAUGGGCUUGCGUCUGAUUAGCUAGUUGGUGAGAUAACAGCUCACCAAGGCGACGAUCAGUAGCCGGAUUGAGAGGUUGAACGGCCACAUUGGGACUGAGACACGGCCCAGACUCCUACGGGAGGCAGCAGUCGGGAAUAUUGCACAAUGGAGGAAACUCUGAUGCAGUGACACCGCGUAUAGGAAGAAGGUCUUAGGAUUGUAAGCUAUUGUCGUGUGAGAAGAAAAUGACCAUCACAGGAGG